rnacentral:rRNA from 1 species
UACAGGGGGGGCAAGCGUUGUUCGGAAUUACUGGGCGUAAAGGGUCUGUAGGUGGCCAACUAAGUCAGACGUGAAAUCCCUCAGCUUAACUGGGGAACUGCGUCUGAUACUGGAUGGCUUGAGUGUGGGAGAGGAAUGCGGAAUUCCAGGUGUAGCGGUGAAAUUCGUAGAUAUCGGGAGGAACACCAGUGGCGAAGGCGGCGACCUGGACGGACACUGACGCUGAGACGCGAAAGCGUGGGGAGCAAACAGG